rnacentral:tRNA from 1 species
UGGUGGUUAGUUUAACAAAAACAAAUGAUUUCGACUCAUUAAAUUAUGCUAAUUACAUAACCACCAA